GAUGAACGCUGGCGGCGUGCCUAACACAUGCAAGUCGAACGAAGCGCCCGCGCGGAUUCCCUCGGGAUGAAGCGCGGAUGACUGAGUGGCGGACGGGUGAGUCACGCGUGGGCAACCUGCCCCGUGCCGGGGGACAACAGCCGGAAACGGCUGCUAAUACCGCAUGAUCCGGGAGGGCCGCAUGGCCCUGCCGGGAAAGCUCCGGCGGCACGGGAUGGGCCCGCGUCUGAUUAGUUUGUUGGCGGGGUAACGGCCCACCAAGACUGCGAUCAGCAGCCGGCCUGAGAGGGCGGCCGGCCACAUUGGGACUGAGACACGGCCCAG
rnacentral:rRNA from 1 species